AUCUGGCUCCACGCUGCUGCUAGUACGACGCGAGUAGUCAUCGUGUAGCUUGCUUCGUGGCGCAAGUAGUGGGUUCUCAUCCCCGAGACCGGGACCAGGGCCAGGGGCUGCACUCCUGGGGGCCUCCCUCUUCCAAGCCGCAUCCUUGACAUUGCUCACCAGUCUCAGGACUCUGUCGAAGUCCUUGGCCCGGAUGGGGCUCCUCCAGCGUCUGGUUCUUCUCUCUGAGCCACCCGGCUUCUCCGGGUCUGUGAAGAAGCUGCUCAAGGUUCUGGAGGGAACCUGCCUGUCACCCUGCAGUUCCGUGAGGUUGGAUGCAGACUUGCGCUUGAAGGAGCUCUUCAGGACGCUCAAGCUGUCGAUGCUCUUGCUUCUGCGUGGCAGAGGCACAGCCCUGCUGGGUUCAGGGUCUCGAACUUGGAUCUCACACACGGCGGGCUCCGGCACUGGCUGCCGCCCCAGGUCCAGCAGGCUGAUGCGGCCCAGGCCAUAGGCCCUGCGGAUGCUGCGAGAACGGUGUGUGCUCCUCUGGAAGGCGUCCUCCGUGUCCUCGGGGUCUGAGCAGUCAGACCCGGCGCCAUCUCCUACAGGGCCCAAGGAUGUACACCUGCCCAGGCCCUUUCCCAGGAUGGCAACGGUGCCAUUGGGAGCAGCCCUUCCUGGGUCUCCUGUAGGCUCCUCCUUGGAAACUUCUGCCCCCUCCCGGUUCUGAAUUCCUUGAAGGACAGAAGAUUUUAGUCUUUUAAAGGAGCCCAUUUUACGGAAGGAGGCCAGGGCAUUCCACGUGGAGGAAUUCCCCACAAGGACGACUGAGCGAGGUCUCUCAGAGUUCGAAUUCAUCCUCUUCCGACUACCAGAGAAGAGACGUACCAGCUUCGAUGGGCUGAGCCUGGUUUCCCCGGCUUCGGGAUCACUGCUGGGGCUGCUUUUGCAGCCUCCAUUCUGACAUGCUGAGGAUGUCACCAUUUUCGGGGCCUUUGGGUUGGAGGCUGAACAAGUGGCUGUGGCACCUUGCCCAUGGCCAUCCUGGGCUGUUGUCAUGUUCUUGGGGUGGGCAGCCUGGCUCAAACCCCCAUUCACGCCGGUAACUGGGGGUCCCUGCUCCAGACCUUCAUCUCCAAGGACAGCAGCCUGGCUUUCACAUCUGCUGUGUGCAUCUGGAUCCGUAGUCACAGCUACUGCCUGCAGCACAAAACAAAGCAGGCGUUUAACCAUUGUCCCCAAGGAGGCGCCUCUAUAGAGGCUGAUCGUUCAAGCUAACAACUGCUAACAGAAGAAAAACCCCACAAGCUCCAGGACAAGGCUGGGUCAUUAAGAAUUACUCUAAAAUCUACUUCUCAUCAAAGCAAGAGUGGAAGGCAUGCAAAUGAUGUAUUCCUCAAAGGAGAAACGAAAAAGACAGCUAUGGAUGUACAUCUGACACAACGGAGAAAUCCCGAAACCCCGAGAAGACCCUGGAACGCAAAUGGUAAGACCUUGUUCUUUAUGUGAACGGAAGGGAUCUUUUAUUAUGAAACAUCAACCCCACCGUGACUUCCAAACACGCCUACUGAAACACCAGCCUGUAUGAGCAGGGGCUCGGUUGGUGGACUCCUGGGAGUUCUGACAGAGGCCAAGUGACUAAGGAAAACUGUAAGAGAAACUUACGGCAUUAUAGGGACUCAGGGCACAACAUACCAAGCCAGAGAAGCUGGAGGAAAGGCUGUGUGCAGAAGACACCCAGAAAGUUCUACUUGUCCAUAGAGUGAUGUGAGGAAACACAUGGGGCUGUUAGAAACUCAAGACAUGGACAUAUGACUAAAAUACCCUCUUCCCUCUGGUCCUACAUCCAAGCCUCUAUACAUUCCUGUGCCCAUUCCUCCCAAGGUUGCCCAAGCCUCCUCCACAGCACUACCUAACCCCCAAAAGUGUGUGAGAACACCACAUCUUUAACCUUUCCCAUCAAUCAAGUCCAUCUCAGCCUUUCUCGGCCUUCAUAGGAUGGCUCAAAUGUCAUGGCCCUUCUAUUUCCAAUAAAUAAAUUAAUAAUUGAGCUUC
rnacentral:lncRNA from 1 species